rnacentral:rRNA from 1 species
CAAUGGAUGGCUUGGCUCAAGCGCUGAUGAGGGACGUGCCAAGCUGCGAUAAGCCUCGGCGAACUGCAUGGACGUGUUGAACCGAGGAUUU